GAUGGCCUCGCGUCCGAUGAGCUAGUUGGUGAGGUAACGGCCCACCAAGGCGACGAUCGGUAGCCGGACUGAGAGGUUGAACGGCCACAUUGGGACUGAGACACGGCCCAGACUCCUACGGGAGGCAGCAGUGGGGAAUAUUGCACAAUGGGGGAAACCCUGAUGCAGCGACGCCGCGUGGAGGAAGAAGGUCUUCGGAUUGUAAACUCCUGUUGUCGAGGAAGAUAAUGACGGUACUCAACAAGGAAGUGACGGCUAACUACGUGCCAGCAGCCGCGAUAAACGUAGGUCACAAGCGUUGUCCGGAAUUACUGGGUGUAAAGGGAGCGCAGGCGGGCGAUCAAGUUGGAAGUGAAAUCCAUGGGCUCAACCCAUGAACUGCUUUCAAAACUGGUCGUCUUGAGUAGUGCAGAGGUAGGCGGAAUUCCCGGUG
rnacentral:rRNA from 1 species